GGGGGGAGGACAUCUCCAGACAGGUGAGGACAGGUGUGAGGAGAACGUCUACAGACAGGUGAGGACAGGUGUGAGGAAGACGUCUCCAGACAGGUGAGGACAGGUGGGGGGGAGGACAUCUCCAGACAGGUGAGGACAGGUGUGAGGAGAACGUCUACAGACAGGUGAGGACAGGUGUGAGGAAGACGUCUCCAGACAGGUGAGGACAGGUGUGAGGAAGACAUCUCCAGACAGGUGAGGACAGGUGGGGGGAAGACAUCUCCAGACAGGUGAGGAC